UACAGAGGGUGCAAGCGUUAAUCGGAAUUACUGGGCGUAAAGCGUGCGUAGACGGUAGCGUAAGUCGGGUGUGAAAGCCCCGGGCUCAACCUGGGAAGGGUCACGCGAUACUGCUCGACUCGAAGGCAGGAGAGGGAAGUGGAAUUCCCGGUGUAGUGGUGAAAUGCGUAGAUAUCGGGAGGAACACCAGUGGCGAAGGCGACUUCCUGGCCUGUUCUUGACGCUGAGGCGCGAAAGCUAGGGUAGCAAACGGG
rnacentral:rRNA from 1 species